rnacentral:lncRNA from 1 species
UCUUCUUCAUUUUCUUCUAAUUAUGGAUUACCUAUUUUUCUAUAAUUAUUAAACCUCUGUGUAACUUAAUUAUGUAAUUCUUAGUGCUUUCUAUCUUGCUAUCUAUUGCAUUUUCUUCCUCCGAUAGUGAGUCAAAAAAUGCAAUAUCUACUUCUUUUUCUAUUGCUAGUGAUUUCUUUUCGUAAGGCAAAAUAUGCAUCUCAAAUUUAGGUUGUACAAAUGUUGAUUUUUUAAAGAAAUUUAUCCCAUUAGUAGUUGUUAAUAUACUACUAUUAUCUUCUAAUAU